UACGUAGGGCGCAAGCGUUGUCCGGAAUUAUUGGGCGUAAAGAGCUCGUAGGCGGCCAGUUGCGUCCGCUGUGAAAUCCCGGGGCUUAACCCCGGGCGUGCAGUGGAUACGGGCUGGCUGGAGGCAGGCAGGGGAGAACGGAAUUCCUGGUGUAGCGGUGAAAUGCGCAGAUAUCAGGAGGAACACCGGUGGCGAAGGCGGGUCUCUGGGCCGAUAUUGACGCUGAGGAGCGAAAGCGUGGGGAGCAAACAGG
rnacentral:rRNA from 1 species